rnacentral:rRNA from 1 species
AUUGAACGCUGGCGGCAGGCCUAACACAUGCAAGUCGAACGAGUGGCGGACGGGUGAGUAAUGUCUGGGAAACUGCCCGCUGGAGGGGGAUAACUACUGGAAAAGGUAGCUAAUACCGCCUACCAUCGGAUGUGCCCAGAUGGGAUUAGCUAGUAGGUGGGGUAACGGCUUACUUAGGCGACGAGCCCUAGCUGGUCUGAGAGGAUGACCAGCCACACUGGAACGUAGACACGGUCCAGACUCCUACGGGUGGCAGCAGUGGGGAAUAUUGCACAAUGGGCGCAAGCCUGCUGCAGCCAGGCCGCGUGUAUGAGGAAGGCCUUCGGGUUGUAAAGUACUUUCAGCGAGGAGGCGUUACUCGCAGAAGAAGCACCGGCUAACUCCGUGCCAGCAGCCGCGGUAAUAC